GACGAACGCUGGCGGCGUGCCUAACACAUGCAAGUCGAGCGAGGAGAUUCCUUCGGGAUGAUCCUAGCGGCGGACGGGUGAGUAACACGUGGGCAACCUGCCUCAUAGAGUGGAGUAACCUCCCGAAAGGGAGAUUAAUACCUCCUAACAUUGCAGUUUCGCAUGGAACAGCAAUUAAAGGAGUAAUCCGCUAUGAGAUGGGCCCGCGGCGCAUUAGCUAGUUGGUGAGGUAACGGCUCACCAAGGCGACGAUGCGUAGCCGACCUGAGAGGGUGAUCGGCCACAUUGGGACUGAGACACGGCCCAGACUCCUACGGGAGGCAGCAGUGGGGAAUAUUGCACAAUGGGGGAAACCCUGAUGCAGCAACGCCGCGUGAGUGAUGACGGCCUUGGGGUUGUAAAGCUCUGUCUUCAGGGACGAUAAUGACGGUACCUGAGGAGGAAGCCACGGCUAACUACGUGCCAGCAGCCGCCGUAAGAC
rnacentral:rRNA from 1 species